UACGGAGGAUGCAAGCGUUAUCCGGAAUGAUUGGGCGUAAAGGGCGCGUAGGCGGCUUUGCGUGUCUUUCGUGAAAUCCCUCGGCUCAACUGAGGACGUGCGGAAGAAACUGCAGGGCUGGAGUCCGGGAGAGGAGGGUGGAAUUCCCAGUGUAGCGGUGAAAUGCGUAGAUAUUGGGAGGAACACCGGUGGCGAAGGCGGCCCUCUGGACCGGUACUGACGCUGAGGUGCGAAAGCGUGGGGAGCAAACAGG
rnacentral:rRNA from 1 species